GACGAACGCUGGCGGCAGGCUUAACACAUGCAAGUCGAACGAGUGGCGGACGGGUGAGUAAUGCUUGGGAAUCUGGCUUAUGGCGGGGGAUAACUACGGGAAAGUGUAGCUAAUACCGCGUACCAUUGGAUGAGCCCAUGUGGGAUUAGGUAGUUGGUGGGGUAAAGGCUCACCAAGCCGACGAUCCGUAGCUGGUCUGAGAGGAUGACCAGCCACACUGGGACUGAGACACGGCCCAGACUCCGACGGGAGGCAGCAGUGGGGAAUAUUGGGCAAUGGGGGCAACCUGACCCAGCCAUGCCGCGUGAAUGAAGAAGGCCUUCGGGUUGUAAAGUUCUUUUGGUAGCGAGGCGUUAACUACAGAAGAAGCACCGGCUAACUACGUGCCAGCAGCCGCGGUAAUUC
rnacentral:rRNA from 1 species